AAGAGAUAAGAUUUGUGUGUUAAAAGGGUUGUUGGUAUAUUGCCAUUGGUGCGUCAAACUUUAGCAGCAAAAUAUAGCAAUGGCCUCAGCAUCCCUCCUUAAGUCAUCUCCUGUUCUUGACAAGGCUGAGUUUGUUAAGGGGCAGUCCCUUCGCCAGCCCUCCGUCUCCGUCGUCCGGUGCCACCCGAAUGUACCAUCUUCACUCACAAUCCGGGCAUCGUCCUAUGCAGAUGAGCUCGUUAAGACCGCGGUACUCGUCUAAUUGCUUUCAAUGUUAGCUCGUUGUGUUCAGUUUGUAUGAGUGUAGAUGUUAGUUUGUGCACAACUUGUUAUAAACAUGCAGUAAUAAUAUGGUAAGUAGCAUCAAAUAUAAAGUAAUAAACAAAAAGCAUUCAUUCUUCGGCCCAUAUUUUUUCCUCUUUUUAAAAAGAUUUCAAUCGAUACGUGCAGGAAAUAAGCUGAAUUUGUUGAGAUUUAGAAACCUUAAUUCUAUACCAUCAAGAGCAAUAAAAUCUUGAAAAAAAAUAUAUAGAUACACAAGAUUUAUAGAGAUUCGCCUCAAUGUUCUACUAUAUACCUUUAUGCCGUUAUGGUAAUUCAUUAUGAUAAAAAGAAGUUUAUAAGAAAAUAUUGCACACCUUAGUUUUUGUAACAUCUCUUUUUUUAUAACGAUAUAAAAUUAUAAUAAUGACUCCCUUUUAUAAAAGAAAUUAGGAAAUAUCGAAAUUAUAAGUCUAAAAUUCUUAAACUAUCUUUAAUGAAAUUUGGUCCAGAGGCUCUACCCCUGCACAUCGAGAUGAGGGCUUCCUGCCCCCUUCCACGUCGACCAGUGCACAAAUUCCACACGGUGAAAAUAAUUAAGCUCUACAACUUGAUGGAAUUAUCUCGAGCCGUGUUUAUAAGAGAUUCGAUUAUGUAUUAGUUGAUAACGAUAAUCAUGCAUUGAGCACAAACUAAAUGAGUUUGAACACACCAAAGCAUACUAAUUCAAAGAAAGAGGGAUGAGUUUACAGAUGUAAAGCGAACAGGCUUGGUUAAGUUAAGGCUGCCAUGGCUCCUUCUCUGGAUGCUCAGGCCCUCACAGCUAUUAACUUGUGUAGGAUUAAGAUUAUUAACACCCACUAAUAAUCCGUAACAUGUGAUCUAAUAUAUGUUCUGAACGAUUUUAUCCUCAACAAAGUUUGUAAAAGCGUCAAUUUGUACUAGUUGAUAACAAAGAUCCUGCAUAUUGCACAGAUUUUGGUCACACUAUGCAUCUAAAGAGGGGUGAGUUUAGAGGUGUAAAAGUGGUUGGGUCGGGUCUCGUAAGGGCUCCUCUCCAGGCCAGGUUGGGAAGCAUCCUCGUAAUGCGACCCAUUUUACACCUUAGGACGAGUUCUUUACUACUGCUACUCUCUGUAAAUGGAUUUAACAAUGGAGAAUAAAUAAUGCAGAAAACUGUUGCAUCACCUGGCCGUGGAAUUCUGGCCAUGGAUGAAUCAAAUGCUACCUGUGGAAAGCGUCUUGCUUCAAUUGGGCUUGAGAACACUGAGGCCAAUCGCCAAGCGUACCGUACCCUCCUUGUGACAGCCCCUGGCCUCGGCCAGUACAUCUCCGGUGCUAUCCUCUUUGAAGAGACUCUCUACCAAUCCACCACCGAUGGCAAAAAGAUGGUUGAUGUCCUAGUCGAGCAAAACAUUGUCCCCGGCAU
rnacentral:lncRNA from 1 species